rnacentral:lncRNA from 1 species
AGCAGCCUAUGUACUUAAUUCUGUGUAUAUCUGAGAUCUAAAUGCAGUGUUCAGGUAUCUUUUAUAUGGCUAACACAAAAGACAGGAAAAAGACAGCUCUUAUAUAUGGUUUCUGCUUUAGUUGAUGUAUGUUUCUAUGAUUCUUCAUGGCAAAAUUUUUUUUUUCAGUGUUUCAGCAUGGAUGUAGCCCAGAUGUGUGAAAUACACAGCAGCAGAAUUUGAGUUUUGAAGUGAAAUAGUGCUUCCUUAUCUGAAGCAUCCUUCAAAAUGCAAGAUUAGAAGUUUCCUACAACGUCGUCUUCAAGACUCCCAGAAAAUUUUUCUGCAACUUGUGGAAUAUAUGAAUGUGUCCUGAAUAAGACUUGGUCAGAGCAGAUGGAAAUGUAGGAACUUCAAGGAGGAGUUCUCUUUUUGAAGUGAGUUUUCCUUUGGGCUCCUGCACCACGAGACAGCAGACCUUCAACUCAACCAGGGGCCAUUCUUCAUUCACCUGCUGCUUGCAUGCCUGAGAAGACAUGUAAAGGAGAACCCAACAGUGAAACUUCAGCAUUACUGUGGCUUGUAUGAAGGGAGAAGCGUGUCUUACCUACGCUGCCUGGAAAAAGAUGAUGUAGUAGCCUGGCAAAAUGAACUCAAGAAACAAGAAGAAGACACUAGAGACUGAUCUGCAAGUUGUUCAGGUUCACUGAUAAGAUGCAAACCAGAAUCAGCCUAUUGGUAGUCUUUCCAGACAUGAUUCAGAGCUAACAAGGGAGAUUGAGAAGUACCAUGACUCCAAACAGAACCAUUUUGGUAAGUCAGUCACCUAAGUCUGUUAAGAGCAUGGUCCUUCACAUGAACAGAUUUUUGUUCUGCUCAUUCAUAGUUAAAAUAUACUUUUAAGAAACAUUGCUAAAAGCACAAGCCAUUUACAUUUUGUAGAGUGUUCAUGCUGCCAGAAAACUGGAGAAUAAAAACCAGCACAUUCCUGCA